rnacentral:rRNA from 1 species
UACAGAGGUCCCGAGCGUUGUUCGGAUUCACUGGGCGUAAAGGGUGCGUAGGUGGUGAGGUAAGUCGGAUGUGAAAUCUCCAAGCUCAACUUGGAAAUGGCAUUGGAAACUACCUUGCUGGAGGUUUGGAGGGGGGACUGGAAUUCUGCGGUGUAGCAGUGAAAUGCGUAGAUAUCGAGAGGAACACCAGUGGCGAAGGCGAGUCUCUGGGCCGAUACUGACGCUGAGGAGCGAAAGCGUGGGGAGCGAACAGG